GCUGGGCACAGUGGUGCACACCUGUAAUCCCAGCAGCUUGGAAGGCUGAGGCAGGAGGAUCACGAGUUCAAAGCCAGCCUCAGCAAUUUAGCAAGGUGCUAAGAAACUCAGUGAGACCCUGUCUCAA
rnacentral:sRNA from 1 species